rnacentral:lncRNA from 1 species
GUUUCUUACCUGCAGCCCACGACGUCUGAGAAUGUUUGGCUCGUCCAUUGUAGUAUAAAUUAUGAUUAUACCGCUGACUCCCUUUUUCCAAUUUAAUUCAACCCAUACUGCGUCCUCCUGUAUUAUACGCUUCACUGCGACUGGAUGAGAACUGAACACAUGUCUAUCGCGGACGCGACUAAGGUUUCAUCACAAAACGGAGAAUUUCGUUUAAUUGCCAGCCGCCCGGUGACCUGGCCAGCCGUGAGAAUUGGGAAUGAAUGUGCAGGGAGGGACUUCCGAAAAAUCGCGUAAAGUGGCAGUGCGGGGACCCUAUAUCUCAUUGAUCCUAUGCAACCUUUUUCCAACCCCUGUCUCACUCGUUUUUUUCCCAGAUUAUACCUGAGCUGUUUUUACAACUUCAAUGGAGUCCACCUGUGGUACAUUCAAUUGAUUGGACGUGAGUUGGAAAAGCACACACCUGUCUAUAUAAGGUCCCACAGUUGACAGUGCAUGUCAGAGAAAACACAAAGCCAUGAGGUCGAAGGAAUUGUCCGUAGAGCGCCGAGACAGGAUUGUGUCGGCACAGAUCUGAGGAAGGGUACCAAAACAUUUCUGCAGUAUUGAAGCUCCCCAAGAACACAGUGGUCGCCAUCAUUCUUAAAUGGAAGAAGCUUGAAACCACCAAGACUCUUCCUAGAGCUGUCCGCCAGGCCAAACAGAGCAAUCGGGGUAGAAGGGCCUUGGUCAGGGAGGUGACCAAGAACCCGAUGGUCACUCUGACAGAGCUCCAGAGUUCCUCUGUGGAGAUGGGAGAACCUUACAGAAGGACAACCAUCUCUGCACCACUCCACCAGUAAGGCCUUUAUGGUAAGCCUUUCAUCAAUAAAAGGCACAUGACAGCCCGCUUGGCGUUUGCCAAAAGGCACUUAAAAGACUCAGACCAUGAAAAUCUAAAUUCUCUGGUCUGAUGGAACCAAGAUUGAACUCUUUGGCCUGAAUGCCUAGCGUCACGUCUGGAGGAAACCUGUCACCAUCCCUACGGUGAAGCAUGGUGGUGGCAGCGUCAUGCUGUGGGGAUGUUUCUCAGUGGCAGGGACUGGGAGACUAGUUAGGAUCGAGGGAAAGAUGAAUGAAGCAAGGUACUGAGAGAUCCUUGAUGAAAACCUGCUCCAGAGCACUCAGGACCUCAAACUGGGGCAAAGGUUCAACUUCCAACAGGUCAACAACCCUAAGCACACAACCAAGACAAUGCAGGACAAAACAGAGAUGCUUGUUCUAGGUCCCAAGAAACAAAGAGAUCUUCUGUUGAAUCUGACAAUUAAUCUGGAUGGUUGUACAGUCGUC